ensembl:snRNA U2 U2 spliceosomal RNA
AUUGCUUCUUGGCCUUUUGGCUAAGAUCAAGUGUAGUAUCUAUUCUUAUCAGUUCAAUAUCUAUCCCUUAAGGUAAAACGGUCUGUCUUACUUCUGGAUUCCAUUCAACAACACUUUACACUUAAAUUCCAUGCACAGCCUAGUAGUAGACUAUGAGAGCCAAUGGAUUGAUGGCUUUGACAAACUAGCCAGU